CUUGGAGUUUAUUUUCUACUCGGUGCAAGGCACGGGGUUAUGAAGGGUCAGGAAGGCUCUCAUGCGGCGUGGAUAAAAGAGUGCGGUUCUCUCAACUUCCUUUUUGGCGUUUUGCUGUUUUGAUAUUGAAGAACCCACCCGUUUCUGUUGGCUGUAGCCUGCUUAGCUCGGAAGAGCACAC